UGCCAGACUCCUACGGGAGGCAGCAGUGAGGAAUAUUGGUCAAUGGGCUUACGCCUGAACCAGCCAAGUCGCGUGAGGGAAGACUGCCCUAUGGGUUGUAAACCUCUUUUGUCAGGGAGCAACGCCGGCUACGUGUAGCCGGACUGAGAGUACCUGAAGAAAAAGCAUCGGCUAACUCCGUGCCAGCAGCCGCGGUAAUACGGAGGAUGCGAGCGUUAUCCGGAUUUAUUGGGUGUAAAGGGCGUGUAGGCGGGAUGGUAAGUCAGAUGUGAAAACUAUGGGCUCAACCCAUAGCCUGCAUUUGAAACUAUCGUUCUUGAGUGUUGGAGAGGCAGGCGGAAUUCCGUGUGUAGCGGUGAAAUGCGUAGAUAUACGGAGGAACACCAGUGGCGAAGGCGGCCUGCUGGACAAUAACUGACGCUGAGGCGCGAAAGCGUGGGGAGCAAACAGGAUUAGAUACCCGAGUA
rnacentral:rRNA from 1 species